CAUAGCAGUAGGGAUCCCGACAUUUGACACAAAAAAAUGGAACGAGGCGGGCUGCACUAGGAUCAAACACAUGUGCCACGAAGGCAAACUGAUGCACGACAUCCCCAACAAGGCUCUGUCCUCCUACCUACAGCUGAAAUCGCUGCUCACAGGAGUACAAAUAAAUAACCAGGUGACACCCAACAAACACUCAAUAGAACAAUUAUGCCUAACUAACAAACCCCCUAAGAAAACAAUCUCCACGAUCUACAACAUACUCACAGAUGACAAGACAGACCCAGACAUGACAUUCCAAACUGCUUGGCACAAAAAACUGGGACAAGUCAUAGACAAAGAGCAUUGGCAAAGAGCAUUUAAAAUACACAAAGGCAAUACAAGAUGCCCAACACAUCUCGAAACAAUUAGGAAGCUACACUAUAGAUGGUACAUGGUACCCGAGCACCUGGCCAGGAUAUACACAAAUUCCCUAAAUACAUGCUGGAGAUGUGGGGCAACCAGAGGCUCUAUGAGCCACAUAUGCUGGACGUGCAUGGAGAUUAGGAAAUUUUGGGAGAUGGUAGAGGAAAUGGCAGGUGACCUACUGGGUAGGCAGUGGCAACUCACCAUACAACAAUGCAUACUAUUUAUGAUACCACUCGCAGUGACCAAAACAGAGGAGUCCCUGCUGUUUCACCUAUUAAUAUCAGCAGUAACAAUAAUAGCUAGAGCGUGGAAAUCACCACAAACUCCAUCCAAGGAAGCCCUAACACAACAAAUAACCAUUAACUGGCAAUAUGAAACGAUGGCACAUAAACACAUUGGACCAAGGAAACACAUAGGCCUAGCUAGUGAGAGGUGGGAAGAGUACAAGGGUAAAGGAAAAAAAGAUAUAUCAAACAGUGUGUCGAUGACCAUGAAUGGGUACAAAGAGAGCACAGGAAAAGAACGAUCAACAAAGAGCUAGGAGAUGGGAAACUCAGAAGUAACGACACAUAACACGCAGUAACAUUAGCACUGGUGGAACUCCUAAAGACCACGAGAACCUUUAUGAGAAAGGGCAAAACUUAAUAUAGCCCGCACUAAGCCGG